GACGAACGCUGGCGGCGUGCUUAACACAUGCAAGUCGAACGGAAAGGCCCUGCUUUUGUGGGGUGCUCGAGUGGCGAACGGGUGUGUAACACGUGAGUAACCUGCCCUUGACUUUGGUAUAACUUCAGGAAACUGUGGCUAACACCGGAUAGGUGCUCCUGCUGCAUGGUGGGGGUUGGAAAGUUUCGGCGGUUGGGGAUGGACUCGCGGCUUAUCAGCUUGUUGGUGGGGUAGUGGCUUACCAAGGCUUUGACGGGUAGCCGGCCUGAGAGGGUGACCGGCCACAUUGGGACUGAGAUACGGCCCAGACUCCUACGGGAGGCAGCAGUGGGGAAUAUUGCACAAUGGGCGGAAGCCUGAUGCAGCAACGCCGCGUGCGGGAUGACGGCCUUCGGGUUGUAAACCGCUUUCGCCUGUGACGAAGCGGGAGUGACGGUAAUGGGUAAAGAAGCGCCGGCUAACUACGUG
rnacentral:rRNA from 1 species